rnacentral:lncRNA from 1 species
GAACAAGACUCCGUCUAAAAAUAAAAAAGGAAUGUUCAUAGCAUUAUCCAAACCGGGAAAAACCCAGACAUCCACCAGCAAAAACCUAAAGACAAAACUGUAAUAUAUAUUUGCAAUGGAAGGAUAUAGAACAAUGAAAAUAACCACCACAUGCACCAACACAGAGGAUACUUAGCGAAAGAAGCCAGACACAAAGAAGAACAUACCAGAUGAUCCAUUCAAAGCUUGAACCCAGGCAAAAUUAACGUGUGGCAACAGAAGUGAAGAUAAUUGUGACUUUUGUGGAGGAGGGAAUGUACGACUGGGUGAGGGCUGUUCUGUUGCUUGUGCUAGCUGAUGAGUGUGUUUACUUUGUAACAAUUUACUGAGCUUUAAUGUGGCAAACUGUGCUCCUAGCUAUUUAGCCAACUGAUUUGAAACUUUUGUCCAUACAAAAAUAUGUAUAGCAGCUUUAUUCAUAACUACCCCAAAGUGAAGUCACUAAGAUAUCUUUAAGCAGAUGAAUG